GGGGGUUUAGCUCAGCGGUAGAGCGCUUGCCUAGCAAGCGCAAGGCCCUGGGUUCGAUCCCCAGCUCCG
rnacentral:tRNA from 1 species